GAGAUGGAAUGAGGACCUGUUUGCGUUUGAUGUGGUGCAUCCCAGAUACCAAAUUAAUGUGGUCUAAGUGCCUUACCAGGGAUGCAAAUGAGACAGUGGAGAGAUGAGAAAGUGAUUGCAACACACUGCAAAUUGAAAAGAUCAAGUCUACUGGAGGAUGGGAAGCAGAGAGCUCCAGUCACCAUGCUAUUAAUUAUUUAAAAACUCAAGUGAUACUGUCAGACACAGCUGUCUGUUGACACCUUAAUAUAAAUGUACACCCUCGUGCUAGUCUUGCGGAACCUACACUGCUAUAUUGGAGGUGAGAAUCGGAGUUGACACCUUCUCCAGUGCAGGAGUUUUAAUGGGGUAGACAAUCUCGAAGGCCAGGAAAAUUAAUGCCAAGUGAGUCUUCCUACCAUCCCAUCUCAUUAUAGAAGAUUUGACGGGACCCUUGACAGUUCAGAGCUGGAAAUGCCUGAAUUGAUGUAGCACCUGUUCACUUGCCAUGAGCUACUGGUUGUUGCCAUGGCCUCUGUCAAGGGAUAUAGCCUAGCAACUACCCAGUUUCCCCAAAUAGACAUCUUUAGCAGGUUCACUUCUCUUCACUUUAUUUUCCAACUACAUAGAUGAAAAAUGAAAAGAAAAAAGUAAAAAAAAAAUAAAAUAAAAAAAACUGCACUUCAUUAUGUGACUCACUGAAACAGGCUUCUCAUUCAGUAUCAAAUGUGUCAGUUUCUAUAUCCUGUUCCAUUACACCUAGUUAAUAUUUGAUAACGCUCCCUUGCAGUAGUACUGACAUGAGAUCUGUAAGGACAGCCUCAUAAAAAUAUUCGGGAAUGCCUUAAAAACUGCAUGAGCUGUUGGGACAUUUUUUUUCACUUUCCCCAGCGAGGUCAUCUAGAGAGAAAUCAAAGGGAAUAGUAUACAUUUUUAAACCGUCUUCAGGAUAAAAUCAAUGCCUGAGGACCAUAUGAGAGAGGAUAAAUGGAGCGGAAUUCAAAAUGGUUUAACAGAGCACAGAAAAAACAGUUUUAAGGCAUCAAUAUUACUUUACAUAAUUUAUGUUCUUAGCUGAUGUCCAGGGCAACCUGCAUGGCUUACAGUACAGUCACACAUUAUCCACUUAAAUUCCAAGAUAUACCAAAGCAAUUCAGGACAACUGCCUUGCUCGAGGGUAUGACAGCAGUGCCAUGCAAGGGAAUGGAUUCUUCAACCUUUGAGGUACUAGCCCAGCUGCCUGGCCAAAGUAUCACUUUAUCACCACCCCAUUCACAUUUAACAGUGAACAUUGUUGAGUUCUUAAUAGAGGAAGCUCAGGUUUUCAUCAUAAUAUUCAGUAUGCUUGUUUGUCAAUCAUGACGGAAUAACUGACUAACAACUUAGUCCUUGUUUUUAGUUUUAUUUUGGGCUGAUUUACUCUUUGCUCACUCACAUCCAGUAUUGCAGGUGUGCUUUGGCUAAGGAUAUUCUGGGUAUUAUCGUCAUCCUAAAUUACACCUCUGGCCAAUGCUUUUAUGUUCACUGUCAUCCCUUCUUUAAUCUGUAGCGACAGAUCAUUUAGACCUGUCUGAACACAGGUGCUGGGUUCUGAAAAAAGUGGUCUUAUUUAAAUUUUUACUGGUUGUUUUCUAACCCGUUUGUCAUUGGCUAAUGCACUAAAAUUGUUAAUUUAAUAAAAAAGGUUAAUAACGAAAGA